AUUGCUUCUCGGCCUUUUGGCUAAGAUCAAGUGUAGUAUAUUUUUUUAAAGAUUUUAUUUAUUUAUCCGAC
rnacentral:snRNA from 1 species